CUUACCUAGCCCGUAGUGGUUUUUCUUUUUAGGUAUGCCUCGACUCUGUGUGUCAAUGGCGCCGUAGCCCACCGUGCUGUUAAGGCGUGCUGACACAGUAUACAUCUGGUUGGCACGAUGGACAGACACAUCACCUUUAGGGGAAUACCCAUUGAGAACGGAACGCCAUAACUAAGCGAACUUCCUGGAGGUAUAUCACAGAUGAUUUGGCCGUAUUUAAUGUGAUGAGAAUCGACUACGUGCUGACUGCUACCGGAGCGAAGUUUGCGCAUUUUAUUAACUAGUUGCAAGGUUCUACGCGGCAUUAAUUAUAUUUUAUCUGCUAACAAGGCCGUCGAGCUCAACAUUGUCGAGGCUGAAAAUAUCCAAAUGUAUAUAACUGAACAUGAUAAAUCAAAUGUUUGUCAUUAACGAUUGAGCAAGCAGACUUUUCGGGACACUCAGCUGGCUACCGCAUUUCGAGACGAGGAACAACGAGGAACUGCGAUACAACCUGAUCAUAAAUUCUGUGACCUGUCGGUUUCCAGCGUGUCUAAGCAACUAUAUGCCACAGAUGCAAGCUGGCAGAUAUCGGUCGGUUAAAGUAUACGAUAGAAGCAUGCCCGCAGGAACUUAGAUUUGACCCUAUACUGAGGCUAUAUUGCACGGACGCUUUGCGAGCACGAGGCUAAAGAAAACCUCCGGAGAAGAAAAAGCGUUUGAAUACAAUUUAAGACGAACCUUUGACAAAGUGGCUGUGUUCUACAGCGAAGCAUCUACGCCGGUGCUGAACACAAUCAAUGGCUGCUAAAAGGCCAGCCACAAAUGGGCCUAACAUAUAAUGAGAUGGAAUAAAUCAUGUAUUUUAUUUGUUAUACUGUUCGG